GAGAAGUCGUAACAAGGUUUUCGUAGGUGAACCUGCGGAAGGAUCAUUGUCGAUGUCCCUGAGCAAUCGACCCGUGAACUUGUCAUGUUACCGCUGGAGAAGCAGGGGGCGGGCCGUCAGUGCUCUCCUAUUGCCCCUCAUCAGGAGUGCACCCGGGGCCCCUCCGGGGCAACGGGUGCCAUUCCCUGGCAAAACAAACAAACCCCGGUGCGCAUCCCGCCAAGGAACUUGAACGAAGAGUGCGCGCUCACGUGCUGCAUCUCAUGAAAAAACUAAAUGACUCUUGGCAACGAAUAUCUCAGCUCUCGCAUCGAUGAAGAAUGUAGCGAAAUGCGAUACUUGGUGUGAAUUGCAGAAUCCUGUGAACGAUCAAGUCUUUGAACGCAAGUUGCGCCCAAAGCCAUUAGGUUGAGGACACGUCUGCCUAGGCAUCUCACGUUGCGUCGCCCGUACUCCCUUAGCCCAGAAGGGAAGGGUUGCGGGCGGAUGUUGGCCUGCAUAGGUGCRCCGGGGCGCGGUUGCCCUAAAAACGAGUCCCUCGCAACAGACGACGUGUCGCGACGAGUGUUGGUUGACAAACCGUUGCAUCGCCUCACGCRCGUCCGAGUCAUCGCUGAAGGUUUGUUGUGACCCUAUUGGGCCGUUGCCAAGGCGCUCUGAUCRCGACCCCAGNUCAGGCGRGAUUACCUGCUGAGUUUAAGCAUAUCAAUAA
rnacentral:misc_RNA from 1 species